rnacentral:rRNA from 1 species
CCUACGGGCGGCAGCAGUGGGGAAUAUUGCACAAUGGGGGAAACCCUGAUGCAGCGACGCCGCGUGAGCGAUGAAGUAUUUCGGUAUGUAAAGCUCUAUCAGCCGGGAAGAAAAUGACGGUACCUGACUAAGAAGCCCCGGCUAACUACGGGCCAGCAGCCGCGGUAAUACGUAGGGGGCAAGCGUUAUCCGGAUUUACUGGGUGUAAAGGGAGCGUAGACGGCUGUGCAAGCCAGAUGUGAAAGCCCGGGGCCCAACCCCGGGAGUGCAUUUGGAACUGGGUGGCUGGAGUGUCGGAGAGGCAGGCGGAAUUCCUAGUGUAGCGGUGAAAUGCGUAGAUAUUAGGAGGAACACCAGUGGCGAAGGCGGCCUGCUGGACGAUGACUGACGUUGAGGCUCGAAAGCGUGGGGAGCAAACAGGAUUAGAUACCCCGGUAGUC